rnacentral:ncRNA from 2 species
UAAAAACCAAUGAAGGAAACAGUAAUUUAGAUAGGUGGGGAAAGAGAGAGAAUCUCAUUGGCUGAAAAGAUUCUUGCUUAACGUCUAGAUGAAGGACAUUCCGAAGGUGUUGUGUUGAACAAAUGAUAGUAAAUGCAAACGUAAUAACAGGCGUUAACUGUUAGAGUGGAAAUACGGAUGGUGUAAUGUAUUUCAACUAGGGUGGCAACACGGGUAACUCUCGUCCCUUUU